rnacentral:rRNA from 1 species
GCGAACGCUGGCGGCAUGCCUAACACAUGCAAGUCGCACGGGGGGGCUUCGGCCUCCCAGUGGCGGACGGGUGAGGAACGCGUAGGGACCUGUCGAGGGGUGGGGGAUAACCGCGGGAAACUGCGGCUAAUACCGCAUGACGCCGCGGCGUGACAGCCGGGGCCAAAGGCGAAAGCCGCCCGCCGAGGGGCCUGCGUCCGAUUAGCUGGUUGGCGGGGUAGCGGCCCACCAAGGCGUCGAUCGGUAGCUGGUCUGAGAGGGUGAUCAGCCACACCGGGACUGAGACACGGCCCGGACUCCCACGGGAGGCAGCAGUGGGGAAUAUUGGACAAUGGGCGCAAGCCUGAUCCAGCAAUGCCGCGUGGGUGAAGAAGGUCUUCGGAUUGUAAAGCCCUUUCGGCGGGGACGAUGGUGACGGUACCCGCAGAAGAAGCCCCGGCUAACUUCGUG